UACAGAGGUCUCAAGCGUUGUUCGGAUUCAUUGGGCGUAAAGGGUGCGUAGGCGGCGCGGUAAGUCGGGUGUGAAAUCUCGGAGCUUAACUCCGAAACUGCAUUCGAUACUGCCGUGCUUGAGGACUGGAGAGGAGACUGGAAUUUACGGUGUAAGCGGUGAAAUGCGUAGAUAUCGUGAGGAAGACCGGUGGCGAAGGCGGAUCUCUGGACAGUUCCUGACGCUGAGGCGCGAAG
rnacentral:rRNA from 1 species